rnacentral:rRNA from 1 species
AUGCAGUCGAACGGCAGCGCGGGGGGCUUGCUCCCUGGCGGCGAGUGGCGGACGGGUGAGUAACGCGUAGGAAUCUACCCAGUAGUGGGGGACAACCCGGGGAAACUCGGGCUAAUACCGCAUACGCCCUACGGGGGAAAGGGGGGGACCUCUUCGGAGGCCUCUCGCUAUUGGAUGAGCCUGCGUCGGAUUAGCUUGUUGGUAGGGUAAUGGCCUACCAAGGCGACGAUCUGUAGCUGGUCUGAGAGGACGAUCAGCCACACUGGGACUGAGACACGGCCCAGACUCCUACGGGAGGCAGCAGUGGGGAAUAUUGGACAAUGGGGGCAACCCUGAUCCAGCAAUGCCGCGUGUGUGAAGAAGGUCUUCGGGUUGUAAAGCACUUUCAGUGGGGAAGAAAAGCUUGAGGUUAAUACCCUCGGGUCUUGACGGUACCUACAGAAGAAGCACCGGCUAACUCCGUGCCAGCAGCCGCGGUAAUACGGAGGGUGCGAGCGUUAAUCGGAAUCACUGGGCGUAAAGCGUGCGUAGGCGGUUCGGUAAGUCAGAUGUGAAAGCCCCGGGCUCAACCUGGGAACUGCAUUUGAUACUGUCGAGCUAGAGUUUGGUAGAGGGAAG